CAGUCGCCGCGGUAAUACAGAGGAUGCAAGCGUUAUCCGGAAUGAUUGGGCGUAAAGCGUCUGUAGGUGGCUUUUCAAGUCCGCCGUCAAAUCCCAGGGCUCAACCCUGGACAGGCGGUGGAAACUACUAAGCUGGAGUACGGUAGGGGCAGAGGGAAUUUCCGGUGUAGCGGUGAAAUGCGUAGAUAUCGGAAGGAACACCUGUGGCGAAAGCGGCUCACUGGACAUUUACUGACGCUGAUGCACGAAAGCUAGGGGAGCAAACAGGAUUAGAUACCCCUGUAGUCCCUGUCUCUUAUAC
rnacentral:rRNA from 1 species